rnacentral:rRNA from 1 species
GACGAACGCUGGCGGCGUGCUUAACACAUGCAAGUCGAACGGUAAGGCCCUUCGGGGUACACGAGUGGCGAACGGGUGAGUAACACGUGGGUGAUCUGCCCUGCACUUCGGGAUAAGCCUGGGAAACUGGGUCUAAUACCGGAUAGGACCACUGCCUGCAUGGGUGGUGGUGGAAAGCUUUUGCGGCGUGGGAUGGGCACGCGGCCUAUCAGCUUGUUGGUGGGGUGAUGGCCUACCAAGGCGACGACGGGUAGCCGGCCUGAGAGGGUGACCGGGCGGGCUGGGACUGAGAUACGGCCCAGACUCCUACGGGAGGCAGCAGUGGGGAAUAUUGCACAAUGGGCGCAAGCCUGAUGCAGCGACGCCGCGUGAGGGAUGACGGCCUUCGGGUUGUAAACCUCUUUCAGCACCGACGAAGCGCAAGUGACGGUAGGUGCAGAAGAAGGACCGGCCAACUACGUGCCAGCAGCCGCGGUAA